rnacentral:rRNA from 1 species
GACCUGGCUGGGCGGUCCGCUUAACGGCGUGUACUGUCUGGCUGGGCCUUACCUCUUGGUGAGCCGGCGUGCCCUUCACUGGUGUGCGUCGGGGAACCAGGACUUUUACCUUGAGAAAAUUAGAGUGUUCAAAGCAGGCAUUUUCGCUUGAAUACAUUAGCAUGGAAUAAUGGAAUAGGA